rnacentral:lncRNA from 13 species
AUGUUCCAUAGAGAGGACCAUCCAGUCUGCCACACUCAGAGGGAAAUUCCAACUGCUCUGGAUGAGUCACUUCCCCUCGAUUACCCUUCUUCAAAGGCCUCCCUCCUUGUGAAAUGUGAGGCUUUAUCAGGCUGCCUGACAAAUGCCUGGCCAGCGGGGAUCAGAGGCAAACGCCACUGCAGUUUGGCCCUGUUGUCAGAGCGAGUCACUGGCUGGGAAGAUGAAUCUGUCCUGGGCCUCAAAGCCAGGGCCGUAGCAGCCUCUCUUCUGGGCACCGAGAAGGCAGUGCUGAGCCCAGGGCUGCACUGGGAGAGACAAGGAGGGGCCCGAGUGUCUCAACCUUGGAAGAAACCUGGACCUCAGACUCAGUGCCCCUCCCAGCUCUGGCUGCAGGCUGUAGACACUUCAUUGUCUCCUGCUGAGCGACUGAGGACUUGGGAGGAAAUCCUGCUUAGAACUUCAAACCUCCAUUCCCAGAGCCGCAACCAGACACUGGAGGGGCAAAGAAGGUGGCAUCAGGAGAUCAUGAGGAGGGUCUCCCCGGGCAUGGAUGGACCUCCUGCCUGGAGGGGCUCAGAACAAUCAGACGGAUGGCCCGGACUUCAGCGAUACAAAUUCACUCUGAGGAGGCAGAGAGAUGUCAUUUGGCCAGACUGUGUGAUGCAUCGAACCUCUGCCCUAGGUGAGACUGUAAAGGUCAUCAAACCCAGCCACAUCAUCAUAGCUUCAUUCGACAGUCAUCGAAGACCUGCCUUGGGUGGUGAGGAUGGAGUGGUGAGCAAGACUCAAGACCUCUGAGGCAAGAGGGGAGCCCUGGUCAGAAUCCAGAGAACCUGGUCCCCAGCCUCAGCGUGACCCAAGGAAAGUUCCCGCAAUGGAUUCAGGUUUUGCAGGGCCGGAAGCUUAGACCAUUGAGGAGAACCUCUCUAAGGUAAACAAUACACACUUAUGAUUACAAAAUUAGGUACAGAUAUGAUUGUUAAUUUAGAAUGAUAAAAAGAAAUUGCAACAAGUUAUAAAUCUCAAAAAAACUGACCAAUGCCAUCAUGAAAUCCAGACAGAUACAUAAUAUUUGUAUUAACUAAAUGCCUGACACAACUCGAAAAUGCUUUCCAAAUUAAAAAAAAUUUUUUUUACAUUACUUCUGCUCACAGCUUUACAUGGGCUGGCUUCUGGCUCCAUGCAUUUCAACCCUUGUCUCUCCUGUGCCUACACACACCUCUGGUACAGACAUCUGAGGCCACAGUUAUACUGUGAUACAACUUCUGGCUCUGCAGCUUCAUGUUGCAAAGCGUG